UUGUCGAGCACAGCAUCAUUGCAAGCAAGCUCAAGAAUCUCCCGAACUGAAGUGACAAGCGGUGCACUAGAUGUUGAAGAAGGUAUAGAUAAUGUCUGAACGAUCGGUCCUACUAAUAACGCGACAACGUCGUUAGAAUCGCCUCCAUUUGCAGUAUAACGGGUGUAUAAAGCAGCAGCUUCGUAAAGUAUUGUCGGCUCACUUCAAUUUUAGUUAGAAAAAUAUAUCUGACUGACUGAAUUUGUUACGGCAAUGUCCGUACAGCAACAUUUAUUGAGGAACGUACAUUACAAUCAUGGAGUAACCUCUUUUACAAUUAAACACUUACUAUAGUCAGAAAGUGUAAAUGUUGAAAGAGAUGGGGAAGUAAGUGGAUCGAAAUUAAUUUAGAGGACAUCAGUAUAAAGUAACGACCCAAGUAACGAAAGUUCAAGGCUUGCUGGAAAAAGGUAAAGAGGUGAAUUACAGAAGAUUCGAUGGAAAAGACGAUAACAAAUAUAUAUUGGUGAAUGCUUCCAAGUUAUUAAAGGGUAAAACAAUUAAAGAAAAAGUCUCAUGGGACUCUUUCGAUCGAUUCAUCAAUGGACAUCCAUCGAUAAUCGAAUUCUCUAAAAUACAACUUAACAAAAAAUAUUCAUUUCAAGAGAAAACGCAGAUAAAACAGAAAACUAAAAAUAGAGAGAGUUUUUGUUUGUGUAGGGGCAUCAAAAUUGAGUAUGAGUAGAUUGUUGCAAACUUUCACUGCCAGGAUAAGUGCGCAACAAAUCAUGCAUAACAGCUUGUGCCGAAGCAAUUUCAGUUUUGACUUGAUCGACUUUUGAGUAAAGAAGGCUAAUUUGGUUCCUCAUACUUUGUGGGCUUGUGGUACCCGUUUCACUCGCCCUAGACGAUGCACUAGAGGGAGUGUGUCGGUCUGGUGCAGGUAAACAAGAAUCGUAAGGAACAGCAGUAAAGGUCAAUACGGUGCUAUUGGGGUUAGCAUCUUGAUUCAUAUGCGAGACACUAGAAGAAGAAGAAGAGAGAGAAUUAGUAGUUGAAGAAGUUUUUGGUUUGCGGCGGAAGAAAUAUCGUUUUUCGGAGGGAACUGUCGCCACCGUUGUGGUAGAGUUACUUUUUAAAGAUUUAUAAUUUAACAGCGAUCUUUCCAAAUUAAGGAUCUGCUCCUGAAGUCGUUCAAGUCGAGCGUAUUUUUGUUGCAAAUCGAUAUAAGCGCUUACAUAUGCCUCAUGAAAGACCCUGGUCUGCUUUUUUGUGAAUUGAGUGGUCCAAGCAUCUAAAACGUCGACAGUUAAGGGUUUAUCUGCUUGUCCAAGUGAAGCAUCCCCAUGGGCGCUACUCUCGUUUCCUGAGGAAAUUGACGAAAACGAAAUGAAUGAAUUGCCACGGAAAAGUACAGCUCUCCUUGGCAUCUUCAAAGCACCCUGAAUGUGAGUAAAUAAAAAAAAACGAUUGAAAUUACUCGAGCCUCGCAGAGUCCCAAGAAGUAGUUGGUUUUAGCACCAAAUAAUCUCUGGCCUACACUUAGUCACUAUUGGUGGUGGUACC